GGGGGUGAACAGGUUUAGACGGAAGGAAAGCCGUACAUCGGAGCCUUUCGGACACGGGUUCGAUUCCCGUCACCUCCACUA
rnacentral:tmRNA from 1 species